UGGCGUAGGCUAACUGAUCUAGCACCCUUAACCGUAACCACUGCACCAUCUGCCAAUACUACUUUCUUCAAGACGCCAGCAUCCACAUCGUGCGGCAACGAAAUGCGCAUAUCCUUAGCAUCCUGAAUCCAGAUCUCCAUGGGUCCAGCAAGCUGAAACGGAGCCAGAACAGGCAACCCAUUGUCCGGCUUUACACUCUGCUUAACUAUCCCAUUCUCAUCACCACGGCUAACUGGUCUUCCUUCCUCAACUCUAAAAAUGGGCAAAUCCACAUACUCCCAUCGAUUCUCAUCCUCCAACAACUUGAACGGCAGCACCUGGUUAUCUAUUUCAAUGUCGAAUUCGUAAGCCACCGACCGGCCCACCAACACAUCUCUCAUAUCAAAUCCCGAAAUCUUAAAAUCAUCCGCCUGAAACCCUAACCCCUUCACAAUCGCCUCCUUCAAAUCCGACAUGGCUUUGGGAUACGAUGUCGGCGGCGGAGAACGAAAGUCGGAGGUAGAGAGAAGAGCGGCAGAGGAGGACAAAGUCGUAAAUACGACGAAGACCAGUGUCAGCAAAGAAAGCGAGACCUUACAAGCCAUUGUGAUCACGAAAGGAAUGAAU
rnacentral:misc_RNA from 1 species